rnacentral:rRNA from 1 species
UACAGAGGGGGCAAGCGUUAUUCGGAAUUAUUGGGCGUAAAGGGUGCGUAGGUGGCGCCGUAAGUCGGGUGUGAAAUUUCGGAGCUUAACUCCGAAACUGCAUUCGAUACUGCGGUGCUUGAGGACUGGAGAGGAGACUGGAAUUCAUGGUGUAGCAGUGAAAUGCGUAGAGAUCAUGAGGAAGACCAGUGGCGAAGGCGGGUCUCUGGACAGUUCCUGACACUGAGGCACGAAGGCCAGGGGAGCAAACGGG